AGUCUCUCAUGACUUUCAGGCUCCUCUGGGCCGUGAGCUGCCUGGCAGGGAGCCAGGAGCGGCUGGUUUCCCUCUGGCCCUGUCCACACUCUAGAAGCACUCAGCUCAAGCUGAUAGGCGUGCAGGUGUCGCGAGAUGGCUCUGACACAGACAGGAGCCCUCUGUGGGGCCCAAUGUAGAUGUCUGCCAAUCCAGAGCCCCCACCAUGGGGAAGGCGCCUCAUGCACACUUAGAAACACUGGCUCCUAUAUAGCAAGUGGCCUCAGAGCCCUGGCCCCCAGCUGUCAACGCCAGCAAUCUCUCUUAGGAGCUAAGCCCUCACACUUUCUAGGGCUACAAGGAGCCAGGUUUCCAGCAAUGCUAUAACGUGAUUUGAGCCCAGGGCCUUGUCCUCUGGCCAGUGGCUUCAUAGUUCAGAUUCCCAUGACCAUGGUAGGAUUGGUACCCAAGAGCUCUAGACCUUCCAGCUGAGCCUCACAGGGAACAUGACACCUUCCCAGUUCAGCACCAGGCCUCCAAGUCCUUCUGGCUUGCAAGGAGUUAGAAUUGUGGCACAUUCUGGUGACCUCUAGCCUAAUAAUCUAGAUGAUCACUCCCAUGAUGAAACAGUUAAUUUCUCAUUACAGGUAAAGGAGCAGGUGGGGUCAAAAUAUGGGCUGGGUGAAAAAAAAAGUGGAUGUUUGAAUAAUGGAACCGAACCUGGAAAUCUGAUCCUAAUAGUUAUUGGGGGUGUCUACAGUUUCCACACCUGGGAAGCCUCAUACAGUGCAAUUUUCUUGUCUUAGCUAUCUUUUUUUUUUUUUUUUUUUUUGGUCACUGCAACAAAAUACCAAGCCAAAAAAAAAAAAUGUAAAGAAGAAAGGUUGAUUUCAGUUCACACUCUCAGAGUACCUUCCACCUUGGUGAGGAAGCUAUGGCGACAGGAACUUGAGACAACUGGUCACAUUGUACCUGUAGUUAAGGACAUGGAGGGAGG
rnacentral:lncRNA from 1 species